rnacentral:rRNA from 1 species
AGUGAACGCUGGCGGUAGGCUUAACACAUGCAAGUCGAACGGCAGCACAGUAAGAGCUUGCUCUUACGGGUGGCGAGUGGCGGACGGGUGAGGAAUACAUCGUAAUCUACUCUUUCGUGGGGGAUAACGUAGCGAAACUUACGCUAAUACCGCAUACGACCUACCGGUGAAAGCAUUGGAUCUUCGGACCUUGCGCGAUUGAAUGAGCCGAUGUCGGAUUAGCUUGUUGGCGGGGUAAGGGCCCACCAAGGCGCCGAUCCGUGGCCGGACUGGGAGACUGAUCGGCCACACUGGAACUGAGACACGGUCCAGACUCCUACGGGAGGCAGCAGUGGGGAAUAUUGGACAAUGGGCGCAAGCCUGAUCCAGCCAUACCGCGUGGGUGAAGAAGGCCUUCGGGUUGUAAAGCCCUUUUGUUGGGAAAGAAAAGCAGCAGGUUAAUACGCCGCUGUUCUGACGGUACCCAAAGAAUAAGCACCGGCUAACUUCGUG